UACGUAGGGUGCGAGCGUUGUCCGGAAUUACUGGGCGUAAAGAGCUCGUAGGUGGUUUGUCGCGUCUGCUGUGAAAACUGGAGGCUCAACCUCCAGCCUGCAGUGGGUACGGGCAGACUAGAGUGCGGUAGGGGAGAUUGGAAUUCCUGGUGUAGCGGUGGAAUGCGCAGAUAUCAGGAGGAACACCGAUGGCGAAGGCAGAUCUCUGGGCCGUAACUGACGCUGAGGAGCGAAAGCAUGGGGAGCGAACAGG
rnacentral:rRNA from 1 species